AUUGAACGCUGGCGGCAGGCCUAACACAUGCAAGUCGAACGAGCGGCGGACGGGUGAGUAAUGUAUGGGAAUCUGCCCGAUGGAGGGGGAUAACUACUGGAAACGGUAGCUAAUACCGCAUACCAUCGGAUGUGCCCAUAUGGGAUUAGCUAGUAGGUGGGGUAAAGGCUCACCUAGGCGACGAUCCCUAGCUGGUCUGAGAGGAUGACCACCCACACUGGGAAUGAGAAACGGUCCAGACGCCUACGGGAGGCAGAAGUGGGGAAUAUUGCACAAUGGGCGCAAGCCUGAUGCAGCCAUGCCGCGUGUAUGAAGAAGGCCGUCGGGUUGUAAAGUACUUUCAGCGGGGAGGCGUUACCCGCAGAAGAAGCACCGGCUAACUCCGUGCCAGCAGCCGCGGUAAUAC
rnacentral:rRNA from 1 species